rnacentral:rRNA from 1 species
GUGCCAGCAGGCCGCGGAUCGACACCGGUGCGUUGCCAGGUGAAGGCGAAGGUAUCGGGGACCUGAUCGGCAAUCAGCCAACCCGUGUUGCUCGGCUUAAGGGGCUCGAUAUCGUGCAUCAGCAGGCAGACGCCACAAUCGCUAUCGAUUCUCGGCAACCACGAACAGAGACAAUGACUGUUCGGCACUCGGCAGCGAGCGCAUCGUGGCGCGCGCGAGCCACGGGCAACGAAGGGCUUCAGGCUUUUCGCCAGGCGCUCGUCACGCAGGCGGGCUACGGCAUGGGGCAUGGAUCGACUCGAAGGGUUGACGACGAAGCGCGGCAGUCUACCAGCGCCCAAGCAUCUGCCGCGCAGUAUCGGUAAAUGAACCGCACCCCAGCCAGCCGGUCGAAAUAGCGCAGUCAUAAGGAGACCGCCAUGUACCGUCUGACCACCCUGCUCGCUCUGAGCCUCGCUCUACCCGUUGCCCACGCCGCCUCGCUGCAAGAACAGCAGCU